CCUUCACCUUUAAGACAGUUUACAAAGCUGCUCCCUGCAAGCCAAUACAGAGGGCCUUUUGCUCACAUCCUGGAAAGAAAGUAAAGGCUGAGACCCUGCUGCACAGACUGCUCCCUGGCAAAGGAAGAAGGGGAAAUGAAAGUGGAAAUGGAGUGAAGGGGAAAAAAUCAGGCAAGAGCAGUGAUGAGCAUUCUGGGCAUGGAGGAGCUAGACAGGCAUGACCUGGAGACAUCUGAAGAAGAUCUAGAUCAAGACUUAGGUUCAUAGCAAUAGUUCAGCAACAAGAAACUCUGAAGAGGUAAGAGUUCAACAGCUUUAGGGCACUAAGCUUUACUCCUCUACCUGAAGGUAGCUGCCCUAUUAAAUUGUAGAGCAAAACAGGAGACGCAUCUCCCUCACUGAACAUGAUGAGGUACACUGCCCUUGUAAGAGGCUGUAGACAGCAGGAAUAAAAUCUUGGCAAGAGGUAUAGCA
rnacentral:lncRNA from 1 species